AUGUUAGCUAAUUACCGAAUGAAAGAAAGAAAUUACUUCCAAAAUUUAUUUUUUCUUCCCUUUCAUAUAUUCAUCAUUAUAAAUGCAAUACAGUGUGUUCAGUUCAUGCUUUUAUGUCUUGAAUUUGGUUUGUUAACCGGUGAAAUUAAAUACUAAUUGAAGGGUUUAUCAGGGGCAGACAAUCAUAUGGUGUGAUAGCCCAAACAUCUCUAAAUUUGACAAGUGAAGAACAAGCCGUCGUUACACAUAAUACAACAACAACAACAACAACAACAAGGUACCCAAUCCCGACAUAAGCCGGGCUAUGGGGAGUUAUCGCUUGAUCACAUGGUUUGUAUGUAUUUUCUUCUGAAGUCUAACGACAUUGGAGUAUGGAUUCUUCAGUGAACAUGAGCAAUAGAUGAUAUCAGGUUUGUUUCUUAUAUAUUUUACUAUCCAGUUCAAUUAAAAUUUGUUCCUUUUGUUUUUUAUUGUUGGUAAUCUAGGAACGGGUUUAACUGAUAUGCAUAAUUACGGCUAAGAAAUGCAAGUUUUGCGACAACAUCGCCUACAGUUCUCAACCAUCCAAUGAACAUAGAUCGUUUCUCAUUGGUCUAAAAAAGGUCAGAAAGGGUGAUUGAAGAGAGAUUACAAAGAACUACGUGCCAUCAAGAACUUAAUUAGCCAUGCCCAAAUAAGAAUGACUUAAUGUCUCAAGCAAAUCACGGGUCAACCCUAUUCGGAAUGGUGGAAGCUUUGGUGUUGAAAACGGUAGCCUGGGAAAGGUAGCAAAGCUACAUGCCGGGCAAUGUUCACAGAUGCAAAGUUUA